CUCAGAGUGAACGCUGGCGGCGUGCCUAACACAUGCAAGUCGAACGAGAACGGGUAUAAGUUUACUUAUACUGUCAGCUAAGUGGCGCACGGGUGAGUAAUAUAUAGUUAAUCUGCCCCAAAGAAGAGAAUAAUUGUUGGAAACGACUUGUAAUGCUCUAUAUGCCUUUAUUACAUAAGUAAGCAAGGGAAAUAUUUAUAGCUUUGGGAUGAGACUGUACGGUAUCAGUUAGUUGGUGAGGUAAUGGCUCACCAAGACAAUGACGCCUAACUGGUUUGAGAGGAUGAUCAGUCACACUGGAACUGAGACACGGUCCAGACUCCUACGGGAGGCAGCAGUGGGGAAUAUUGCACAAUGGAGGAAACUCUGAUGCAGCAACGCCGCGUGGAGGAUGACACAUUUCGGUGCGUAAACUCCUUUUAUAUGAGAAGAUAAUGACGGUAUCAUAUGAAUAAGCACCGGCUAACUCCGUGU
rnacentral:rRNA from 1 species